UCUUCUUCUUCUUCUUCCAAUAUGUUAUAGUAUGUAGGUUCGAAUUAGAAGAUUGUUGCGUGAUUGAUGCUUUGUAUAUUGUUGAAUAUGUGUAGUAAGUGAUGGAGAGUGAGAGGUUCAGAGAAAAAUCAAAACCAUAGAGUGAUGCAAAUUCUCAGAGAUUGAAGAUGAUGAUGUGGUAUUUCGAAGGAGCAAUUGUAAGGGUGUGGAAGGUGAAUAUGGAGAGAGAAAUCUCAGAAACUAAACGAGAGUGAGAGAGUAGUGAUUGUGGAAAAUGAUGUUUUUCUUCUUUUUUUACAAUGAUUGGUGAGAGGGGUUGAUUUAGAGAGGGGGGAGAGUGUAACUACUUCGAGCAGUCAUGGAAACCGUUUGGGCAAGGUAACUCUGUUAAUCCUCAUGAAUAAAAGUGUUAGAAGUUAUUGACUCUGUUAGCCUCUGUUAAGAAUCAGUUAAUUUUAGUUAACUAAACAGUUAGGGACUUUAAAAUCUGUUAGUUUCUAUUAAGUUCUGUUUGUGAAUAACCGUUGUAGUUAGUUUGUUAGUUCAAUGAAUGGAGUUAGAGAAUAGUUUGAAAGUGUUAUUGAGUUAGUGACUAGCAAUGGUUAUUAGAUUGCAUUUGAGUGCUAAAAUGUGACUGUUAGAUACUCAUUGAAUCUAUUGUUGGGUUAGUUCUAAUUAUUGGAUUGAACUAAUUGUUAAUGAAUUGUGUUUUCCAGAAUUGACUUGUUUGAUUUGGUGCAGAGAAACCGUGAUGAAAAUUAACUGAAAUUGACAUGUUAAUAGUUAGCUAUGAAGUGAUUAAGUGUUAGAAACUUAGUUAGAAUGUUAGAGUGACUUUAGAGUUAGUUAUUAGUUCAAUUAUAUUGAAAGGUUAGUGUGUUAGCUUGGAUUUGUUAGUUGAAUUUGAAAUUAGUAUUAAACUGUUAAGAAAUUAGUUAUUAAAAGGGACUUAGCAUGCUGAACUUUGUUGUAUCGUAUUGCUUGUUAGUGGUUUCAAUUAUUGAUUGUUUGGAAUUGGAUCACCAAGUUAGGAUAGUAUGAACUUCUGUGUGAAUUGGUUCCAUUUGUCUUACUAACUGAACUUGAAUGAAUGAAUGGAUUUGAACUGAAGUUAUUGCAUUGCUUGGCCUUUGGUUAUAAAUUGUUAAGAAAAUUUAAUUUGGCUAAACAUGUUAGAAAUGGUCCAAUUCUAUAGGAAAUUAGAUGACUGCUAGUAGUUUGUUUAAUGAAAUUGUGGUUGUUGGUGUUAUAGAAGAGCUUUUUGAUAUUGUUUGAUCCCUAUGUAAUCUGUAACUCUCAGGGGAUGUUGGAUCUAGUUGAGAUUCCAAACUUGAUGUGGGAAAUCUAGAAGACUUGUAUGUGGUAAGGGCCUCUUGAAAACUCAACCUUUGCAAUACCUUGAUUGAUAGCUACCCUGCUCGGCUUGGCCAAAAUUGUCAUAAGGCAACUCAUGCAGUUUAAGUAAAGCCUAGUAAUAGAACUGUUAGAGACUAUGUUGGUUAAUUAUAUUGAAUUGAAUUUUGCUGCAUUUAGUGGUUAGAAUGCUAAGAAUGAAGAUGUUAGCUAAGCAAUUAUGCAGGCUAUGAUCUUAAUUUGUCCAUGUGAAAUAAAGUUUUAUCAUUGCUAGCAGCUUUUGGAUAUGUUGGGUUUCUCUAUGUGUGGCUGCCAUGGUUUAUAUAUGCAUGUUAAUGAUUAGUUGAUGCUUGGUGAGUCCGAAUCUAUUUGUAUUGAUAUGAAUGCUUUUGAUGGAUUGCAGGCUGCCAUGAUUCAGGAAGCAAUAUUCAAUAAGUUCACCCUAGUUUGGGAUGGCAUCAUGGCUAGCAUGGAACAAAUCGAAUCUUAGUGAAUAACUUUAAAGACUUUGAUGCACAAAGGAGGAAUGCCUUGCAAUUGAAUGAAGGAAAUAAGAUUAGAGUUUUCUUGGGGUUUAGUGGUUGACCUUGGUCAACUGGCUGACCAAAAAAUCAAUAAUUGACCAAAGUCAACUGUAGGUCGAAAGUGUAUUAUUUUGUGUAAAGUCUUGGAUUUUGUGUGAUGUAAUGUAAUUGGAUAUUUGGAAAUGAAAAUGGAUUUUUGAAUGGAUUGAACAAUGACAUGUGUUUCAAGAAAGUGGUCUCCCUCCAAAACAUAAAUUUGAAAUUGAUCUUGUCUUGCAUGAA
rnacentral:lncRNA from 1 species